rnacentral:rRNA from 1 species
UACGUAGGGAGCAAGCGUUGUCCGGAAUCAUUGGGCGUAAAGCGCGCGUAGGCGGCCCUGUAAGUCCGUUGUGAAAGCCAAAGGCUCAACCUUUGAAAGCCGAUGGAUACUGCAGGGCUAGAGUCCGGAAGAGGCGAGUGGAAUUCCUGGUGUAGCGGUGGAAUGCGCAGAUAUCAGGAGGAACACCAAUAGCGAAGGCAGCUGGCUACACAAAUAUUGACACUGAGGCACGAAAGCGUGGGGAUCAAACAGG